GCAUGAAGGGAGCGGCAGAUGAAGGAUAGCAUGAAGGGAGCGGCAGAUGGUUAAAUAGAGGAUGAGGCUGCCGCUACAAACUGUAGCGGCAAGGCUUUGGCUUCCGUGCAGUCAAUUGUUGCAGUCCGUGUAGUUGCAGCAGUUGGCCUGCCGCAUGAGCCUGUAGCGGCAGGUUAUGAUAUUUUCCAACAUAAAUCAGGGACAUAUUAGUAACUUCGCAAUAAUUUAUUUUUUAAAUUGGC
rnacentral:lncRNA from 1 species